GUUGCUUAUUAAAUUAAUUUUUUUAUUAAUGAAAAAGAUGUCUUUUACUUCGUCAAUUUCUUCUACAAAAAAAAAUAAAUAUCACUAUCAAAGGGAAAUCGCUUAAGGAUAUCACUGUUUACUCGUUUUUCCCUUUCAUUUAAUCAUUUCUCAGAACGCAGUAAUUUUUUUUGUCUUCCACUUACUUUCACUUCCAACGUUUGUACUUUUCGGGUUAUCUUAUUUCCCAAAGAUACAGAAAAAACAUACUACCGCAGAUUUACAAAGCCAUUAGCCGAUUCUUUCCAAAUCGAUAUUUUAGCUUCAGAUUCAAAGGUUUUCCUUAUUUAUUGAACUUACUCAGUAGUAUUCUAGAAAGUUAUAAAAUACCUUUCUUUAUUUUUAAGAAUUAAAUAAAUUAACUAAAGAAUUAAGACAUUUGAGAAAGUUAAUGCAUAAUAAUGUUCAUAUCCCAUCAA